AACAUCUGAAGGGAAGCCAUGGGUUAGUCAGGAAGGGCCUGUCAGCUUACGUGUGGCUGGUUAGGGGCUGAAGGAAGGUAACAUUAUCUCUAGAGCUCCCAGAACUACCCGGUCUUUCAGCCUCCCCUUCCUUCCCAUCCUGGGAGUCCCGCUGCUGUUACUGCUUUCCUUCACCUGGUCUGAGCUGAAUGAUUCAGUUUGCCAGUUCUUUGUGUCUAACCUAAACCUCUCAUGAGCCACAGUUCAGGAUAGAUGCCGUUCCCGGCCAGUCUCAGAGGCUGCCCACAUCACAUGCUGGGAGCCUUGUGUAGUGAUCUUCUAGAAACUUCCCCUCUUUAUUCCUGUGACUAGCUAGACAGCUGCCUUGGCCGGGAGUGAAUCAGAAAGCCAAGGAGAGCUCACACAGCCUCAGGGGCAGCCUUGGGACCUCCAAGUCUGCACAGAACCUGAGAAUGAGGCCCUGGCUUAUAUUGACUCUCAGUCUGAAAUCACAAAUGUUCCUAUCUCAGGGCACGUUUGUGAGACAGAGACCUCCAACCCUCAUGGGCAUCCCUGAAUUUGGUCAAGGCUGCUCUGUCCACUGGCAGGAAGUGAUCCAAAUGCCCCUCCCCUCAGCAGCCCCUAGAACUCCGGAAAGCACUCACACCUUGGCCAGGCUCUCCUGGGCUCCCCGGGCUUCUGAGUUACAGGUAGCCACGGAGUGGCCAAUGAGGUGCAGGUGGUUCUGGGCCUUCUGCACCUGCCUUGAGUAGAGAAUGAGGUUAGAGCAGGACACCACUGUCCAUUGUUGGGACACAGCUAUCGUCAGCUCACCAGGGAGUCCUAAGCAUUGAGCUCCCUCUAGGACUGUCCUUCUGGGUGUCACCCAUCUCUCCAUCUUGCCACACAGAGGGAACUGAGAGAGUCCCAAGGGAGCCAGGGCAGGGAUCAGUAACACUGCUGUGUGGGUGUAGCUGGGUCACUCAUGCGGUUACCAGCAAACGCGGAGCCAGGUAAGGCUUAGGAGAGAGAUGACAGUCCAGGCUAAUACAUUUCUGUAAGGACAGCCCAUGCUAGAGCAUUUCUGUGAGGAGUGUCCGAACCUCCGUUUCCAUAAGAAAGUAAGGGCAAGACUUGAGAAUUCUAAUCUUUAGUCAGAGGGCGUACAUUUUCCCAUUGCACAGAAGAAACCAAGUCCCAGGUUCACUAAACCAACAGUGGGCUCUGAAUACACAUUAGGAUUAUGGGGCUAGCUUUUAAACUUCUGACAUCUAUGAUCUGCCUAGGCCCAACAAGUCAGAGUGUUGCCAGGUAUUGUAUUCUAGUGUGAGGGAGAGGAACUGAGCCCUUGACAAGCCCUCAGGCCACACAGCACACUUCCUUCUCAGAGGCCCCAGAAAAGUACACUAGGGGACCGUGGACCAGUUAGAAAAAGGAGCUCCGGGGUUGGGGAUUUAGCUCAGUGGUAGAGCGCUUGCCUAGCAAGCGCAAGGCCCUGGGUUCGGUCCCCAGCUCCGAAAAAAAGAAAAAAAGAAAAAGGAGCUCCAAAUUUGGGAAUAGUUUGAGGGAUGGAGUGUUAGUCGACACUGCCUGCCCGGCUUCCCUGUCCCCCUUUGUCUCCUCCCCAGGGGAGCUGGUGUUCUCCCUAGAGAGAAGAGACCCAUCACAACAGACAGGCACAGCAGGUGAAAUCUGGAUUUUUUAGGGGCAUCUUCACCCAUGAUCUAGGCCUCAAUCUGCCACUUAGCUCUGUGAUAUUAAGGAGAGACCAGUUCUUUGAGCCUGGGUCCCCUCAUCCGAAAAGGGAGGUGGUAACAUUCGCCGUGUGAACACUGGGGAACCAAAUAAUCACAUUUGUAGAAAUAGCCCAUCAUUCUGCCCGCUCACCGUUUCUUCACUUCUCACUAAGUCCUCUCUUACUGCGGCCCUGCAGAGCCCACAGUCCUCUGUUGUCUGGAAGGGCUGGGCCAGCCCAGGAUCCUUGAGUUCAGAGGAAGGGGCAGGCCGCUUACCUCAUCCGCUUGCCAUGUGUGACCAGUGACACCUGAUACGUCUGUGCACACUCCUCCUGGAACACCUGCAGCAGCCUCUUGGCUAGGUGACUAAAAUUUACCCUGGAAGGACAGAGACCCCAUGGUCAAGGGGCGAGCAGCCAGAGCCACCUGCGUGCAGACUUAGCCCUUCCACUGCUACUUGUCACAAAUGCCAGCCCCUCUGCUCACAGCAGGGACAUCUCUCAGGGAAGAGAGGAUGACCACACACUUGGGUCCUGAUGCCCAGAGACCAGCAAAGCCUCGUGCACCAAUAAGGGGCCAGGGAGGCCAAUACAUACAGUGAACACAUACACACUCAACUUGAUCCUUGGGAGAAAAAAGGGAUGCAGAACUCUGGAAAGCACAUGAGAAGAGGUGUGUGCACAUGCGUGUCUGUGAAUAUGCAUGCAGGAGUUAGAGGUGGUAUAGCUCUGGAGGGGAAAAAAAUCUCCAAAUAGGAGACCAAGGAGGCCUCAUGGAAGAUGUGGGCGUCCAAGAAACAGUAUCUAUGAGAUGCUAGGCAGGCCCACGCCAAGGUCAAAAUCAGGGAGGGGAAAGAAGUCAAUCAGUGAGAAUAAUUAGAAAAAUCCUACAAGCUUGUUCAUGCUGGGAGUAAAGUCAGUUACUUCAAGGUUGAUUGUGAGCAACCUCUGACUCAGCUGUGACCCUAUAUAACCUGGCUCAGAUAGUUACGCCCUCUGCCCAGCCAUGGCUAAGGGUCAAAGCGCUUCACUAUUUCCCGCCUAGAAUAAAGAUUCACUCCAUCCCGAUGGACCGAUGAGCUCCGCCCUCCUGCCCACCUGCCUGCCCAGAAUGGGGCCACUCACUUAUCCAGCUUGUGGAUCUGCUCCUCAUUGUAGCUGAGGCCUGAAGAAAACAGAUGGGGAUGACGUCACCACUCAGCUAGUCAGGAAACCAAGUUAAAAAGAUGAGGACAGCGCAGGGUGGGGGCUAUUUUAUGGGAUCUCAGACCUAGGGGAACCCCGAGGGGAUGAGGAAAUGGAACAUCAAGUAACUAUGACAACACUGAUGUUGUGACCGAAAGUCUGAUUCUGAUUUAUGUAUCAAGGAACCGAGGAGAACUGCUAUGGGGCUCCAGAGGGAGGCAAGCCUGCUGGGUGGGCGGGUGUGUGUAUGGGAAAUGUUGCAGGUGGGAACGCUGCAUGAAGUGGUCCUCAAGGACAUUAGCCGGGCUUCGGCUCUGCAUCCUCGACCCUCUCCGGCUCACAGCUGAUUGGCUCCAUCCCUUAAGUCACUCACAGGUAAGCCACCACCUCCCAACUCUCCCUCUUUGCCCAGCAACUGUUUUCAAAAGGAGCAACUUUGGGUAGAAGAGCCCUUGCCUAGACCUAGGCUAACACGGAAGCCCUUAAAGCUCUUGCAACGAGGAUAGACUGCCCCCUGGUGGUCUUUGAAGGGAUGAGUCUUGCGCGUGGCAGUAGCUCCAAGGUGAAGAGCAGCAGUUCUCAAACCUGUGGAUCUUGAGCCCUUUGGGGAUGACUGCCCUUUCACAGGGGUUGACUAAGACCAUUGGAAAACACAGAUAGUUGCAUAAAAUUACAGCUACGAAGUGGUAUCAAAAAUAAUUUUAUGGUCGGGGGUCACCGCACCAUGAGAGGACGGUAUUAAAGGAUUGUAGUGCCGGGAAGGUUGCGAGCCACCGAUUAAGAGGAUUCUGGUUUGCCUUUCCACCUUCCCAUCUCAUCACCCCAGGAGCAGGAUCUUCCUCCUGGACCUGCACUAGUUAAGGCCAAGGGACCUGAACUCACUCCAGCUCCUCCUCCUAGUACCAGGCAGCUGUGAACAAAUGAGUUGGCUUGGGUAACACGCGGAUGCCUAUUUGGAUCCCAGGAGAGCGCCCUGAUGCCUAUGAAGCAACCUUCCAGAAUGGCAUCGCGCAACACUCCAGAUAAACUGGCUCUUUUGGUGGUCCACGGACAGAGCAGAGGGGCCGUGGAGAUGGUUCGUGAUUUCCCUGUGUGGCUGCGCACCCUUGAUGUCGUGUCUGUUGUCUGCCCCAUCCCCCCCCCCCAAUGCCUCUGGACUGCUGAUGAGCAGGACUUGGCCCUCCCUGGACUUCGAAGGUCAAGACCAAGAGCAUUCUUCUCUGACCAAGCAGACGACCCACCGUUUC